AAGCCAUGCGAGUCGAGAGGUGUAAGACCUCGGCAUACUGCUCAGUAACACGUGGUUAACCUGCCCUAAGGUGGAGAAUACUCCCGGGAAACUGGGGUUAAUGCUCCAUAGUGGAUAUGUCCUGGAAUGGUAUAUCCUCGAAAGAUCCGUCGCCUUAGGAUGGGACUGCGUCCGAUUAGGUUGUUGGCGGGGUAACGGCCCACCAAGCCAUUGAUCGGUACGGGUUGUGGGAGCAAGAUCCCGGAGAUGGAUUCUGAGACAUGAAUCCAGGCCCUACGGGGCGCAGCAGGCGCGCAAACUUUACAAUGCGAGCAAUCGUGAUAAGGAAACCCUGAGUGCCUGUCGAUGCAGGCUGUUCAUAUAUCUAAAUCAUAUGUGAAGAAAGGGCAGGGCAAGACCGGUGCCAGCCGCCGCGGUAAUACCGGCUGCUCGAGUGAUGGCCACUAUUACUGGGUUUAAAGCGUCCGUAGCUUGACUGUUAGGUCCCUUGGGAAAUCUUCGCGCUUAACGUGAAGGCGUCUAAGAGAUACCGGCAGUCUUGGAACUGGGAGAGGUAAACCGUACUUCGGGGGUAGGAGUGAAAUCUUGUAAUCCUCGAGGGACGACCUAUGGCGAAGGCAGUUUACCAGAACAGCUUCGACAGUGAGGGACGAAAGCUGGGGGAGCAAACGGGAUUAGAUACCCCGGUAGUCCCAGCCGUAAACAAUGUGCGUUAGGUGUGUCGGUAACCACGCGUUACUGAUGCGCCGAAGAGAAAUCGUGAAACGCACCACCUGGGAA
rnacentral:rRNA from 1 species